AACGCACAUUGCGCCCUCUGGUAUUCCGGAGGGCACACCUGUUCGAGAGCCAUUUCAAAACUAAGGCUUCGCCUUGCGUUGGCGGGUCCCCGAUGAGGGAGCGCUGAAACUUGGAUGGCGCGGCCUGCGACCAGCGAUGCAGCGAAAUGCGUGGCGACUCGCAGGGCGCUGCCCCUGAAUCGACAGUUUGGCCUCGGAUCAGGUGGGGCUACCCGCUGAACUUAA
rnacentral:misc_RNA from 1 species